rnacentral:lncRNA from 1 species
ACUGCUUCCCAGGAACCCAGAGGCCCACACCAGCUCCCACUGCCACCACCAAGGUUAUGUUAUGCUCACCAGCCUCAGACUCUGUGUCUACAAAACAGGAAUGCAGAGGAGAGCUGCUGUGAGAACCUGCUGACCCACCCUACACCAAAUCCUGGGCUUGCAAUCAGUCCAGGUUCACGGAGGUCCUGCUGCACAGCGUGUGACUGGUCCCAUGCUGGGCACUUCAGCCCAAGAGAUAACAAGACACAGGGGGCAGCCCGGAGGACACUCAGGGCCAUAAGGAGACAGACAGGGGUUCGAAUCUCUUGGAGCCAACCCAGUGGUGACAAGUACACUUAGGUUCUGGGGAGGACAGUAAGGAGGGGGGUACUGUGUAGGGAAGGAUGAAGUGGGGAGCAGAAAGGUCCAGAGAGGGAACAACACAGGCAAAGGUGACCUGGCCAUGGAGGUGGCCUUGUGGAGCCCUGGCCCUGGGGACCAUGGACAGAGGGAGCUGGAGCAACAGCCCAAGUGGGGGUCGAAGAAGAGAUGUGGUCCCGGAGGGGACUGCAAGGUGAAUGGAGACACAAGCAGGGGACUGCAGAGACCCGGAGGCAACACUGGCAGUCCUGCUGUGCUCAGCAGAACACGUCCCCAAGUUGUCCCGUCCUAAUCCCAGAACAUAUGGAUGCCUUAUGCUUCGUGGCAGGGACAAUCAGUCGCAGAUGGAAUUGAGGUUGCUAAUCAGCUGAUUUGAGACGGGGCUGUGACUCUGGAUUAUCUGGCUGAGCCACUGGAAUUGCUUUAAAUGUGGAAGAGGGAGGCGUCAGAGGGAUGCUGCCGGUGGCUUUGAAGCUGGAAGGGGAGCGGUGUGGGCGGCCAAGGAAGCAGACUCCCUCCAGAGCCUCCAGGAGGAGUGUGACUUCCCCCCACACCUUGAAUUUAGCCCCACGGGGCUGGUCAGACCUCUGACCCAUAGAACGGAAAGAUGGUACAUUCAUGCUAAGCCGCUCGAUCUGCAGUGAUUUGUUACAGGGGCGACAGGAAGCACAGUGCUGG